rnacentral:misc_RNA from 1 species
UUUCCGUAGGUGAACCUGCGGAAGGAUCAUUAUUGGAUUUUGAAACUUCAGGCUGCUGCUGGCUCUCCUCGGAGGGCAUGUGCACGCUUGUUGUCCAUUAUUUCUCCCACUGUGCACAAAUUGUAGACCUUUCAGUAGGCCUAUGUUGCUUUUCACAAUCUCUGAAUGUAAUAGAAUGGUUUUGAAUCUUGGGAAAUACAUACAACUUUCAGCAACGGAUCUCUUGGCUCUC